GGCGCAUAAGUAACAGGUCGUAGACCCGAAACCAGGUGAUCUACCCAUGUCCAGGAUGAAGGUAAGGUAAUACUUACUGGAGGUCCGAACCCACGCACGUUGAAAAGUGCGGGGAUGAGGUGUGGGUAGCGGAGAAAUUCCAAUCGAACUUGGAGAUAGCUGGUUCUCUCCGAAAUAGCUUUAGGGCUAGCCUCGAGGUAAAGAGUCAUGGAGGUAGAGCACUGUUUGGACUAGGGGCCCUUCUCGGGUUACCGAAUUCAGAUAAACUCCGAAUGCCAUGUACUUAUACUCGGGAGUCAGACUGCGAGUGAUAAGAUCCGUAGUCGAAAGGGAAACAGCCCAGACCACCAGUUAAGGUCCCCAAAUAUAUGUUAAGUGGAAAAGGAUGUGGGGUUGCUUAGACAACCAGGAUGUUGGCUUAGAAGCAGCCACCAUUGAAAGAGUGCGUAAUAGCUCACUGGUCGAGUGACCCCGCGCCGAAAAUGUACCGGGGCUAAACAUAUUACCGAAACUGUGGAUGAACCUCUUUAGAGGUUCGUGGUAGGAGAGCGUUCUAAGGGCGGUGAAGUCAGACCGGAAGGACUGGUGGAGCGCUUAGAAGUGAGAAUGCCGGUAUGAGUAGCGAAAGAAGGGUGAGAAUCCCUUCCACCGAAUAUCUAAGGUUUCCUGAGGAAGGCUCGUCCGCUCAGGGUUAGUCGGGACCUAAGCCGAGGCCGAUAGGCGUAGGCGAUGGACAACAGGUAGAGAUUCCUGUACCAGUGCUAAUUGUUUAACCGAUGGGGUGACACAGAAGGAUAGGGAAUCGCACGAAUGGAAAUGUGCGUCCAAGCAGUGAGUGUGAGAAGUAGGCAAAUCCGCUUCUCGCGAAGCAUGAGCUGUGAUGGGGAAGGAAAUUAAGUACGGAAGUUCCUGAUUUCACGCUGUCAAGAAAAGCCUCUAGGAAGAGUAGUACUGCCCGUACCGCAAACCGACACAGGUAGAUGAGGAGAGAAUCCUAAGGUGAGCGAGAGAACUCUCGUUAAGGAACUCGGCAAAAUGACCCCGUAACUUCGGGAGAAGGGGUGCUCUAUUAGGGUGCAAGCCCGAGAGAGCCGCAGUGAAUAGGCCCAGGCGACUGUUUAGCAAAAACACAGGUCUCUGCAAAACCGUAAGGUGACGUAUAGGGGCUGACGCCUGCCCGGUGCUGGAAGGUUAAGAGGAGUGCUUAGCUUCGGCGAAGGUACGAAUUGAAGCCCCAGUAAACGGCGGCCGUAACUAUAACGGUCCUAAGGUAGCGAAAUUCCUUGUCGGGUAAGUUCCGACCCGCACGAAAGGCGCAACGAUCUGGGCACUGUCUCAACGAGAGACUCGGUGAAAUUAUAGUACCUGUGAAGAUGCAGGUUACCCGCGACAGGACGGAAAGACCCCGUGGAGCUUUACUGCAACCUGAUAUGGAAUGUUUGUACCGCUUGUACAGGAUAGGUAGGAGCCGAAGAGACGUGUGCGCUAGCAUACGAGGAGGCAAUGGUGGGAUACUACCCUGGCUGUAUGACCAUUCUAACCCGCCACGCUUAGCGCGUGGGGAGACAGUGUCAGGUGGGCAGUUUGACUGGGGCGGUCGCCUCCUAAAGAGUAACGGAGGCGCCCAAAGGUUCCCUCAGAAUGGAUGGAAAUCAUUCGCAGAGUGUAAAGGCACAAGGGAGCUUGACUGCGAGACUGACAAGUCGAGCAGGGACGAAAGUCGGGCUUAGUGAUCCGGUGGUUCCGCAUGGAAGGGCCAUCGCUCAACGGAUAAAAGCUACCCCGGGGAUAACAGGCUUAUCUCCCCCAAGAGUCCACAUCGACGGGGAGGUUUGGCACCUCGAUGUCGGCUCGUCGCAUCCUGGGGCUGUAGUCGGUCCCAAGGGUUGGGCUGUUCGCCCAUUAAAGCGGCACGCGAGCUGGGUUCAGAACGUCGUGAGACAGUUCGGUCCCUAUCCGUCGCGGGCGCAGGAAAUUUGAGAGGAGCUGUCCUUAGUACGAGAGGACCGGGAUGGACACACCGCUGGUGUACCAGUUGUUCCGCCAGGAGCAUCGCUGGGUAGCUAUGUGUGGCAGGGAUAAACGCUGAAAGCAUCUAAGC
rnacentral:rRNA from 1 species